AACAAAGUUUAUCAUGAACCUAAAUUCGUCUCAUCUAAGUAUCACCAUCAUUUUCAAGUAAAACAUUGCAAGUUAUCAUCUUUUAAUUCAUCAAAGGAUUAUCUUCAAGAAUACAAUCAAACUUAUAAAAUGGUGAACUUCACAAAUUGUUCAUGUCUCAUCAUCUUAUUACAAGUUGGAAUGCUUCAAGAAAAGGAAGAAAUUGCAAGAUCACUUACAAGAUUACAAGUUGAAAUUUAUUAUCAAUCAAAACAUAAACCUUCAAGGAUUACUUCAAAUAAAAUUUACAAUCAAAUUACAAAGGGAACAUUCUAA